rnacentral:rRNA from 1 species
UGGGGAAUAUUGGACAAUGGGGGCAACCCUGAUCCAGCCAUGCCGCGUGAGUGAAGAAGGCCCUAGGGUUGUAAAGCUCUUUCAGGUGUGAGGAUGAUGACAGUAGCACCAGAAGAAGCCCCGGCUAACUUCGUGCCAGCAGCCGCGGUAAUACGAAGGGGGCUAGCGUUGUUCGGAUUUACUGGGCGUAAAGGGCGUGUAGGCGGACGAUCAAGCUAGGGGUGAAAGCCCAGGGCCCAACCCUGGAACUGCCCUUAGAACUGGUUGUCUAGAAUCCGUAAGGGGAGUGUGGAAUUCCUAGUGUAGAGGUGAAAUUCGUAGAUAUUAGGAAGAACACCAGUGGCGAAGGCGGCACUCUGGUACGGUAUUGACGCUGAGGCGCGAAAGCGUGGGGAGCAAACAGG